AGCGCCACCUGUUGGUAUCGUGUGACACUAAAAUAGAUUUAAAAAAGAAGGGCGCUGAUUUUAAUAAACACCCAUCCUGACCGCGUUCAUCAUGUUUAUGUGAAGUAUUAUUUGAUUAUUACAGUUCCGAGCAUAUUUUAUUGUGUCAGAAGUGAAAGUGGCUGUUUGUUGUGCAAUUCGUGAUGGCAAAUAUGAAGAAUUAUUAGCAAGCGAAGAUUCCUGAGGCUGAGGCAGUGAGGGAGAGAUGUUCUUUACAACAUAGUGAGUAAUGCAUCUGGUCUUGGCCUUCAUCUACAUGGAGGUAGUGAUAAUCAGAAGGGCCAGGAAUCUUUAUUGACAAGAGUCAUGGAAGGAGUAAACUGCUGAAGGACUGGCUGAAGAGGAGUCAAAAUUGGCAGCUUCCAUGUCCGUCUUAAAGCAGAGAAGCAGGAGAAGCUGGCCAAUGUUGCACCCCAGUUAGUCUUUGAAGAAGUACUCUCCCACAAUGCUGUCCUAGAGGAGAUUGUGCUGGAAAGUCUUGCAGCAGAACUGGAAGCCUCCUAUGACCACGGUGUGAAUGAGGAAGAAGCACUUGCCCAGAACAUAGGACAGUCAGCUGCAAGAUUGAAGAGAGAGCUCUGGAAUUCAACAGAGAUUGCUGUUGUUGUUGGCAACGUGUUAGUGGCUGCUGUCCUUGUUGCAUACUAUAAUACCCCCACCAUGCAGCUCAUACCAUGUGGAGCUUGUCAACUCUUGGAUAGAAAGGUUAAGGAAUUGCAUAUAACAGUAACAGAUGACCUAAUUCUUAUCAAGAUUCUGAUGUCUUCCCUCAAAUAUCAACCCAACCUUCGAUGCCACUAUAAUGGGAAAUAAAUUUAUGGCGGUUGAGUAUGACAACGACGACCACAUCGAUUACCAUGGAACUCAUCACACACCCAGGCAGCCAGAUUAGCGAUGGAUACAGAAAUGAUGAAGGAGGCAUAUAUCUAUUUUGUAAAAGGGUGUUGCAAGAAACUUCCAAUUGAUUGCAAGUCAUUUUCAGGUCCCAAAAUCAUUUGACACGCAUUUCAUUGCAAUUUUGCAAUUGAUUGAUGGUUUCCUCCUUGUAUCAACAAAAUUGAUUUGCUUUACUUAAAAUUGAUCUAUCGAUUGUCAAUAUGCAUCUGAACUUUGCAAUUGAUUUAUUGUCAGUAAUUUCUUGCAACACCCCAAAGCAAUACUGUCAAAUCUUCUAUUAAGUCCACCCAAGAGGAGCAGGAGAAAGGUGGCCACUAAAGUCAGGUGGUCUUACAGACAGGUUAUAUCACAAAUUCCUUUCUAAUCAGAGACAAUUUUUGUUGCCACUUAAGUCAGGUUUUUUAUUAUACAUGAAGAUAGGUGGCCACUAUGAGAGAUUUAACUGUACCUCGAAAUGUCAAAAAAUUUACCUCCAAUUUUGAUAAUAUUGUCAGUGUUAUAUUUGUUUGAUUUUCUCAAGCUAUUUGAAUAAACUCAUUAAUGAUUGAUUUUAUAGACUUUUAAUAGUGAGGGCUUGAAAGUAUAUCACAUUUUGGGGUGUUGCUUGACAUUUUGGUUGGGGGUGUAAGACCAACGCAUAUAUCAUAUUAAAGAAAAAGGAAAAUCCUUCAAAGAUUAAAAAAGUUAUUUGAAUUUUUUUUUAAUUUGUGACGUCAUAUACAUGUUUAUAUAUGGCCCAUAUAAAAUGCAUGAAUUUCAAUUUUAUGACUUUAAAAAAUCUUUCAGAAGCGGGUGUGAAAUAAUUAAUCUGUUAUACAGAUGGUACAAUAAUAUCCAUUGGUGGCACGCUAUGAAUUAUCCAAGAGAGAAAAAAGAAGCAUGACAUCAUCUUUUAAAUCAUACCCCCCCAAAAAAAAAAAAAAAUUACCAUAGUGUCACUCCUGAAUAUUACUCUUUAUGAUUUAUUUUCUCUUUGACACUGGUUGCAAAUUGAUUUUGAAAUCUAAAUGUUGUACUUGUAUACAAAAAAAAAAGCUCUUUCACUGCUCCAAGCCUCGAGAACAAUCGGUUUGAGUACUAUUCUUAGUGUUAAUAUCCAACUGGGACUUCAAGUAUGCCUAACAGAAGACAAUUCAUGGACUGACAUAGUAAUACACCCAGCUCAUGACGUAGCACAUCUUAUUCUCUUAAUCCCCCAGCCCCUUAUGGCUGCCAUAUAGGUUACAGUGUUUUUGAAGUUGAAUUCUCUUUCUCAAUGUGCAUUAUUCUACAAAAAUAUUUUUUUUAAAUACCAAUUAUUUUGUGUGUGUUCAGAAUAUUUAAAUUCCACCAAUUUGCCUUCGUAAAUUAAAAUGUUUAUAUUUUCAUGAUGUAUUUUUAAGUCCAGUCAAAAUAAAACAAAAUGAAGAUUGUUAAUAUUCAAAAUAUGCUGCUGCUCACUUGGACCAUCUUUAUUGCUGGUCUACUUUUCAUAAACAUUCCUGAAACAAAUAGCCAGUGAUUUUUUUUAUGACUGCGUAUUAAAAGUUACUGAAAUCAUUGCAUCUGAUUGGCUCAGAGCAAAUUUGAUGUUUCAUGAAACCACCCUAGACCAUAUGGCUGUUUUAAAGACUAAAUACUACUGUGAAAGUCCAUCCCAAUAAAGAGUUGAUUUGAAUUGUAUGAAUAAUACAAUAAGCGAGGAAUCUCACUGUGUUUCACUUUAUAUUGAAGAUAAAAUGAAGAUAUUUCAUAUUUCAAAUAUUAACAUACAAAAGAAAUAGUGAUUGUAUGAUGUCAUCGAUUCCCUCAUUCGUAUCCCAACCAGGAUUUGCAAUAUAACUCUCGUGUGAAAUUAAUAAAAACUUACAAUUUCAUACCUUUCUCAUUUUAGAUCCGUUUUGAAUGAAAUUUUCAACGUUACACUUUGAUUUGACUUUCUCUUUUAAUUCAAACCAACUUCUGGUUGGGGUGGACUUUUAAGAGUUGCACGGUAUUCAGAUUCUCUAUUUAUGACAUGGCUGGGGUCCGUUUCAUAAAGCUGAUCCAAACUUUUGACUGGACUUUUUGUUAAAUAAAUGACACUGUCUGAUUU